rnacentral:misc_RNA from 1 species
AGUCGUAACAAGGUAUCCGUAGGUGAACCUGCGGAUGGAUCAUUACCAAAGAAGUCCUUUGACGUCUUGUGAAUCGUAUUUUUUGUCAGUGCAAUUUUUUUUGCCCUUUGUUUUUCGAAGGGUACGAAGGGUCGUGCUGGCUGCUCAAACAAACACACACGUAUACCCUUUAACCAGAGUCACUUUAGCCUAAAACUAAAGACAACUUUUAGCAACGGAUCUCUUGGCUCUC